rnacentral:rRNA from 1 species
ACACCGGCAGCUCAAGUGGAAGCCGCUUUUAUUGGGCCUAAAGCGUUCGUAGCCGGCCUGAUAAGUCUCUGGUGAAAUCCCGCAGCUUAACUGUGGGAAUUGCUGGAGAUACUAUCAGGCUUGAGGUCGGGAGAGGUUAGAGUUACUCCAAGGGUAGGGGUGAAAUCCUAUAAUCCUGGGAGGACCACCUGUGGCGAAGGCGUCUAACUGGAACGAACCUGACGGUGAGUAACGAAGCCAGGGGCGCGAACCGGAUUAGAUACCCGGGUAGUCCUGGCCGUAAACGAUGUGGACUUGGUGUUGGGAUGGCCUCGAGCUGCCCCAGUGCCGAAGGGAAGCUGUUAAGUCCACCGCCUGGGAAGUACGGUCGCAAGACUGAAACUUAAAUGAAUUGGCGGGG